rnacentral:rRNA from 1 species
AAUGAUGGGUAGGGGAGCUUCCCAUACGGGUUGAAGCAUGACCGUAAGGACAUGUGGACAGUAUGGGAGUGAGAAUGUUGGCAUGAGUAGCGAGAUGUGGGGGAGAAUCCCACAGGCCGUAAACCCAAGGUUUCCAGGGGAAGGUUCGUCCGCCCUGGGUUAGUCGGGACCUAAGCUGAGGCCGAAAGGCGUAGGUGAUGGACAACAGGUUGAUAUUCCUGUACUACCG